GACGAACGCUGGCGGUGUGCUUAACACAUGCAAGUCGAACGGAAAGGCCCUGCUUUUGUGGGGCGCUCGAGUGGCGAACGGGUGAGUAACACGUGAGUAACCUGCCCUUGACUUUGGGAUAACUUCAGGAAACUGGGGCUAAUACCGGAUAGGAGCUCCUGCUGCAUGGUGGGGGUUGGAAAGUUUCGGCGGUUGGGGAUGGACUCGCGGCUUAUCAGCUUGUUGGUGGGGUAGUGGCUUACCAAGGCUUUGACGGGGAGCCGGCCUGAGAGGGUGACCGGCCACAUUGGGACUGAGAUACGGCCCAGACUCCUACGGGAGGCAGCAGUGGGGAAUAUUGCACAAUGGGCGGAAGCCUGAUGCAGCAACGCCGCGUGCGGGAUGACGGCCUUCGGGUUGUAAACCGCUUUCGCCUGUGACGAAGCGUGAGUGACGGUAAUGGGUAAAGAAGCACCGGCUAACUACGUG
rnacentral:rRNA from 1 species